rnacentral:tRNA from 1 species
GCGGACGUGGCGAAAUUGGCAGACGAACUGUCUUCAGGCGGCAGCGCCUUCGGGUGUGAAGGUUCGAAUCCUUUCGUCCGCA